CCCGCAGGCGGCAUGCCAAGUUGGACGUGAAAGCUCCUGGCUUAACCGGGAGAGGCCGUUCAAAACUGGCAAGCUAGAGGUCAGUAGAGGAGCAUGGAAUUCCGGGUGGAGUGGUGAAAUGCGUAGAUAUCCGGAGGAACACCAGAGGCGAAGGCGAUGCUCUGGGCUGUAUCUGACGCUGAGGGGCGAAAGCGUGGGUAGCGAACG
rnacentral:rRNA from 1 species